AAAGAUAAGCUUUAACUAUUUCGAUAAGCUUAAAGAAAUAAGAAAAGUUAACCUCCUCUCACAGUGAGUGCCGGUUUAAGUACAACGAUGAAUAAUGCGAUCAUUCUAUAUAUGAGAAAUUGUUUUUUUUCUGUAUAAAAAGAGCACAAAUUGUUUUCUUUUUGUAUAUAU
rnacentral:sRNA from 1 species